ensembl:lncRNA
GUCCCAGGCAGAUGUCAGUGUGAGAAGCUAAUCCUCGCUAAUGGGUUAAUUGCUCCACCUCUCAGAUGUCACAAGGGCCCUUCAGCAGCUUCCGGCAGAUUCUCCAAAGAUUCACUGGCUGGAAGCAGUGACCCUAAAUCAGAAAAGCAACUCCUGGGGGGCGCAGCUCCGGACACGACCCUGGGGAGGACUUGAAGCAUUCUCUCUCUUCCUUCCUUGGACACACCUACUCGGAGGCUCCUGGCCCCGGGAGGCCCCCAGCGGAGCUGGAGGAGGGCCCAGCACCAGGGGUGGGUGAGAUGCCAGCACCCCCUUGGAGAUCAGAACUGCUAGUCGGGUCAGCUGACCCCAUCUCUGGCCACCUGAGUGACCCUCCUGGGGGACUGGACCUGGAGCUUGGGCUCCUCGGGUGCCAGCGUCACUGCUCUGGUCUCCCCAGUCUGCCCAGAGCCCCCUAAAGCCCACCGUGUGCUCAGCCAUGGGACUCCUCAUCCGAAGCCUCCGAGCCCUCCUUUUCCCAUCCCUCCACCACCCGGCCCGCUGGUACCAGAGCUGCCCUGCAGGACAAGCCUCAGCCUGGGCCACAGGCAAGGCCGCUUGACUCAGCAGUCCCUGCUGUGCCCACAGCCGGCGGGGAGGUUGCAGGUGCCUCCCCUCCCUGCCCAGGCAUCAAGUCACAGGGCUUGAAUACUUCCCAGGACAGGGAGCUCAUCAGCCCCAGGCAGCAGCCUGCCCCAGGCAGAAACGCUUCGACUUCCGAGACAAGUCCUUUGUGAUGAACUGACACCUGAACACCGGUUAAUUCCAUCUGUUUACACAUUUUCGUCAUCCGCAUCAUUAUUAAUACUGUCUACAUACCAGCACACUGCAGUAUGUCAGCGAAUCCUUCACCACUUGUGGAGCUGGGGCCUGUCUCUCCAUCAUGUACUGGUAGAUGGGAAACCUGAGGUCCAGAGGAAGUGUGUCACCUAAGUGUGUGACACGGCCAGGAAGUCACAGAACGUGGGCUCAGAUCCAGAGCCCAGGCCCUUGCCAGCCAGGGGUGUGCCCAUCCAGGUUCCACCAUCUGCUUAGCUCCCCUCUCCAGCGUGUUCUUACUUCUCUGCCAGGGGCCACUACCCCACAAAGCUCACACCUUCUCCCCCAGACCCUGCAGAUGGAUCAACUACUCCUCCAGGAAGUCCUCCUGAGACAGCCAAAGGGUAUGGAAGGAACCCUCUUCCCAAGUCCUGACCAUCAGCCCGUGGUUCCAAAGCCCUGCUGGAACUUGGCUCCGGCGCCCUCUGCAUCCCCAGUUCUGUGCAGUGAGGCCUGUGGCCCCAGAUGCUGGCAUCUCAUUGCCUUUCUCCUGUUGUGAUGGCGGCUGCCGGCGUGGAGCCAGCCCGACUGCCUGGAGUGAGGACUCCUUCUCCCCCACACCUGCUGAGCACCAGCCCUCUGAUCCUUCUCUUCAGGGGACCCCAGACUUCAUCUUUGCAGUAAUUGCAUACCAGGGGUAGCCAAGUCAGAAAGAUCCAGGUCCUCACUGCAGAGGCCUGCCAGACACCGCUUUGGCAGAAUGAAAAAUAAAACCCAAGGCCUAGACUGAUCUUCCAGAAUCUUCUGGUCCAUUCCCAGCCUCCAAGCACUGGAUGUUGGAUUGGCGGGGUAGAGGGAUCAGACAGUUUCCUCCUCCUCCCUUCCUGUGACACCAGCUUCUUGUUCUUCCCUCCAGAAAGGUGGCAAAAGUUAGUUACAUGUAUUCUUCAGCUGAUGCUAGGAAUAAACAC